UACGGGGGGGGCAAGCGUUGUUCGGAAUUACUGGGCGUAAAGGGCGCGUAGGCGGUUGGAUAAGUCAGCUGUGAAAACCACGGGCUUAACUCGUGGCCUGCAGUUGAGACUGUCUGGCUUGAGUGUGGGAGAGGAGAGUGGAAUUCCUGGUGUAGCGGUGAAAUGCGUAGAUAUCAGGAAGAACACCAAUGGCGAAGGCAGCUCGCUGGGACGGAACUGACGCUGAGGCGCGAAAGCGUGGGGAGCAAACAGG
rnacentral:rRNA from 1 species